GAUGAACGCUGGCGGCGUGCCUAAUACAUGCAAGUCGAGCGAACAGAUAAGGAGCUUGCUCCUUUGACGUUAGCGGCGGACGGGUGAGUAACACGUGGGUAAUCUACUUAUAAGACUGGGAUAACUUCGGGAAACCGGAGCUAAUACCGGAUAAUAUUUCGAACCGCAUGGUUCGAUAGUGAAAGAUGGUUUUGCUAUCACUUAUAGAUGGACCCGCGCCGUAUUAGCUAGUUGGUAAGGUAACGGCUUACCAAGGCGACGAUACGUAGCCGACCUGAGAGGGUGAUCGGCCACACUGGAACUGAGACACGGUCCAGACUCCUACGGGAGGCAGCAGUAGGGAAUCUUCCGCAAUGGGCGAAAGCCUGACGGAGCAACGCCGCGUGAGUGAUGAAGGUCUUCGGAUCGUAAAACUCUGUUAUUAGGGAAGAACAUACGUGUAAGUAACUGUGCACGUCUUGACGGUACCUAAUCAGAAAGCCACGGCUAACUACGUGCCAGCAGCCGCGGUAAUACGUAGGUGGCAAGCGUUAUCCGGAAUUAUUGGGCGUAAAGCGCGCGUAGGCGGUUUUUUAAGUCUGAUGCGAAAGCCCACGGCUCAACCGUGGGGGGUCAUUGGAAACUGGAAAACUUGAGUGCAGAAGAGGAAAGUGGAAUUCCAUGUGUAGCGGUGAAAUGCGCAGAGAUAUGGAGGAACACCAGUGGCGAAGGCGACUUUCUGGUCUGUAACUGACGCUGAUGUGCGAAAGCGUGGGGAUCAAACAGGAUUAGAUACCCUGGUAGUCCACGCCGUAAACGAUGAGUGCUAAGUGUUAGGGGGUUUCCGCCCCUUAGUGCUGCAGCUAACGCAUUAAGCACUCCGCCUGGGGAGUACGACCGCAAGGUCGAAACUCAAAGGAAUUGACGGGGACCCGCACAAGCGGUGGAGCAUGUGGUUUAAUUCGAAGCAACGCGAAGAACCUUACCAAAUCUUGACAUCCUUUGACAACUCUAGAGAUAGAGCUUUCCCCUUCGGGGGACAAAGUGACAGGUGGUGCAUGGUUGUCGUCAGCUCGUGUCGUGAGAUGUUGGGUUAAGUCCCGCAACGAGCGCAACCCUUAAGCUUAGAUGCCAUCAUUAAGUUGGGCACUCUAAGUUGACUGCCGGUGACAAACCGGAGGAAGGUGGGGAUGACGUCAAAUCAUCAUGCCCCUUAUGAUUUGGGCUACACACGUGCUACAAUGGACAAUACAAAGGGCAGCGAAACCGCGAGGUCAAGCAAAUCCCAUAAAGUUGUUCUCAGUUCGGAUUGUAGUCUGCAACUCGACUACAUGAAGCUGGAAUCGCUAGUAAUCGUAGAUCAGCAUGCUAUGGUGAAUACGUUCCCGGGUCU
rnacentral:rRNA from 1 species